AUUGAACGCUGGCGGCAGGCCUAACACAUGCAAGUCGAGCGGAUGAAGAGAGCUUGCUCUCUGAUUCAGCGGCGGACGGGUGAGUAAUGCCUAGGAAUCUGCCUGGUAGUGGGGGACAACGUUUCGAAAGGAACGCUAAUACCGCAUACGUCCUACGGGAGAAAGUGGGGGAUCUUCGGACCUCACGCUAUCAGAUGAGCCUAGGUACGAUUAGCUAGUUGGUGAGGUAAAGGCUCACCAAGGCGACGAUCGUUAACUGGUCUGAGAGGAUGAUCAGUCACACUGGAACUGAGACACGGUCCAGACUCCUACGGGAGGCAGCAGUGGGGAAUAUUGGACAAUGGGCGAAAGCCUGAUCCAGCCAUGCCGCGUGUGUGAAGAAGGUCUUCGGAUUGUAAAGCACUUUAAGUUGGGAGGAAGGGCAGUAAGUUAAUACCUUGCUGUUUUGACGUUACCGACAGAAUAAGCACCGGCUAACUUCGUGCCAGCCGCCGCCGUAA
rnacentral:rRNA from 1 species